UGGAAGGAGCCAUAAAAACUGUAUAGCUCCAAGCCCCCUGCCUUGGGCAGGAAAGUUUGCGCUUCAGGAGGGGUAAGAUUAGCAAUAGAAGUUCAGACAAAGAAAUUCUGGUUAGUUUGACAUAAUCUAGUAGGUAGUCUGUUUAUUCAGGAACUCACAUACACUUGCAUAAAGUUUUAAGGGAAUGAAAGCAUGAAUUUCAGUCCAAAAGAAGUGGCAGCAGGAGGGCUGGACACUUCAGCAACAUGAGCAACACCUUGAAGAUGUGGGACUCCUAGGAAGAUGCAACACUGGGUGCAGUUCUGGAAGGAGGAGGUGCUGGUCCUUACCACAAUGACAGACAGCUCAGUGAUAAACUCAGAAGAAACCUGUAUCUUCUAUGGAAGCAUGGUGCUGCCCAUGCUUUGCAGAACUUAAGAAUAACAGAGAAUUGAUAGAUUAACUAUUUCAGUGGUAAGUGCUCAUCACUCUUACAGUUUAAGCUACUGAUGUAACUUUUAUUAAGAGACAAAGCUAAAAAUUCUACAGUCUGAUACUGAUGGAAUUGGAGUGCUUGAGACUAAAGUCAAGCUCUGCUGCUUCAGUAACUAAGCAGGGGUAUUUCUUAGCCUAAAAAUACUGUGUUCAACAUCAGGAAGUCACAUUAUAUCAGCUUAAUAUUAAAUUAAAGUUCUUUCAUAUACAUCAUUAUCUCCUACCAUAAGACGUGCAGCUGUUCAUGCAAUCUGCACCCAGUCAAUAGUUUGUGACAUAUCUUGAGCAAGUAUUUUAUCAAAAAAAACAACAUGUCUAACUUUGUAGCCAUCAAUUUGGAAUUUCUCCUAUGUAUUUGUUAAUAGAUGUAUUCCUUUGUAUGCUGUAUUCCAGCAGUGUCAUAUUUAUGUUCCAGCAAUUACCCACACUUAAUGCUCCUUUGUGACCUUUAUGCAUGUAAGGAGCAAUGAAAACGCACUUGGGACUUGUAAAUGUCAUGGUCAAGUUUAAUCUUUCAUGAUUGUAAGAAGCUAAGCAUGCAUAAUGAAAAAUAGUGAAAUAAUUGCUUCUUAACCUG
rnacentral:lncRNA from 1 species